rnacentral:rRNA from 1 species
GACGAACGCUGGCGGCGUGCCUAAUACAUGCAAGUUGAGCGCUGAAGGUUGGUACUUGUACCAACUGGAUUAGCAGCGAACGGGUGAGUAACGCGUGGGGAAUCUGCCUUUGAGCGGGGGACAACAUUUGGAAACGAAUGCUAAUACCGCAUAAAAACUUUAAACACAAGUUUUAAGUUUGAAAGAUGCAAUUGCAUCACUCAAAGAUGAUCCCGCGUUGUAUUAGCUAGUUGGUGAGGUAAAGGCUCACCAAGGCGAUGAUACAUAGCCGACCUGAGAGGGUGAUCGGCCACAUUGGGACUGAGACACGGCCCAAACUCCUACGGGAGGCAGCAGUAGGGAAUCUUCGGCAAUGGACGCAAGUCUGACCGAGCAACGCCGCGUGAGUGAAGAAGGUUUUCGGAUCGUAAAACUCUGUUGGUAGAGAAGAACGUUGGUGAGAGUGGAAAGCUCAUCAAGUGACGGUAACUACCCAGAAAGGGACGGCUAACUACGUG